AGCCACUCCCACUACUCAUCCGGACGAAGCGCGAACUUUGAACUCCAUCUUCGCGACUUGGAAGAUCCAGGCUCCGAAGGAAUGGAACAUCAGCGGCGAACUUUGCUCCGGCACCGCAAUCGAGGAUAGUAUCACCAUCGACGACGAAAACUACAACCCUUUUAUCAAAUGCGACUACAAUUUCGACAGCUCCACAGUCUGCCGCAUCACAGCCCUCAAGGUUUCUGAGAAAGAUGUUAGAGGACCUAUACCUUCACAGCUUUGGACUUUGAUACACCUCAAAAAUCUGUAUAUUGACAUACACUUUAGCGUUUUCUUGAAUUCUUAUCAUCGUCAAAAAAAAAUAAUAAUAAUGCAUUUUUCUUUGAGGAACCUGGGUCGAAAUUAUCUCACAGGCUCCAUUUCUCCUGCAAUUGGAAACUUGACUCAAAUGGAAUGGAUGUAAUUAUAUAAGGCUCCAUUUCUUCUCUUCUUCUUCCUUAGCUUUUAUUAAUCUCUCUUUCUUGUCUCUCACGCUCCAACUGUUCUCUCAACUACUGUAGGACUUUUGGGAUCAAUGCCUUGUUGUUGAUGCUAGGAUCGGUCACAAUUAGAAUGUUUAGUUAGGCAAAAUGGGGGUCGAAAAGCUCUUUAUUAAUCGGUGUCGGGGCACAAAAAGGACAGACUACAAAGUGAACAAGACGAGCUAAGAUAGUGAAAGGUAAGAUGAAGGACGAGCUGCAAGCUCGUCGAUUCAAGGUUUCGAGUGAAGGACGAGCUGCGAGCUCAUCGAUUCAAGGUUUUUGAGUGAAGGGAUUAAUACUUAUGACUCUUCUCUCUUCCUAAUUUCUGCCCACCCCAUUUACGGACAUUGUACGUCCGUAUUUAUGGCGAACUGUGUCGGUUCGUCCUCUUGAGAAGACCAAAAUACCCUCUUUCCUUGGAGGUUUAUUUGGGCCUUUAAUGGGCCGAGCUCUUUGGUAAGGAGUAUGGAUCUACCCCUAACAGUAUUCCCCCCUCACCCUCAGUUCGUAGUCUUUAGGUGGAGAACUGUCUGAAGAAGUCGUCUUCUUCUUGGUGGUUCGGCGUUGGAGUUUAACUCGUCCGUGGGUUCUUUAGAUCUUGAACCGGUUAUUGGGGCGAUAACCUCGGAUGAGAUCUGAGGAAGAAACGAAAGGUCGCGCGUGGGAUUUUUUGGUUUUCGACGCUGGAGGUCGAAUCGCUGCGAGCGGUUUCCCAGAGCGUGAAAUCCGAAAGUCGUACUAUCACCAAACGUGUACUGUAAUGAUUACGCUUUGGGGGACUCCCCUCCACUCCUAUAAAUACUUGCCUUCCCUUUCAUUUUCUUCAUCUUAUCUAUGAGUCAUCUCCUGCUUCCGAGUCAUCAGGUAUAUUUCUCUCCCCUUUCUUAAGGUCGUUGUUCUCUUUUACUCGUCUUCGAUGUCUUCCCUCGGAUCUGUCUCCUCCGAUUCCUCUGCCGCAAGUCAUAUCAGGCAAGCGACCUCUUCAGAUUCUGAUGACGUUAAUAGAUCGAAUAGCGGUGGUCGGAGAUCGUCGACGAGUUCUCUCUCCGACACAUCUUCCGACUCUACCUCGCUCGUUGAUCUUCAACGUCAAGCUUUUUCUCAUGCGACGACUACGAGUUUGUCUCGCCUUCCUUGUGCGAUCCCCUCUCUAAUUGACGAGAACUUAGACGAUUCGACCGUUCCCGAGGAUCAUAUCGUCGUUCGUGGUUUGUUGCCGGUUAUUACUCACGGCUCUAGGAGGCAUAUUAUCUCUUAUGCAUCCUCUUCCGCCCAUCAUUAUUCCGGAUGAGAAACAGCGUCCCUGGGAUGUUCCAGACGGUUAUUUCUGUCUCUCGGAGAAGCUUUUCACCGAGUGCGUGAUCACCUUUCCCCUCCCUACCUUUUUGAUGUCGUACUUAGCGAAUCGCGAGAUGGCGAUAUCCCAGUUCGCAAUGGUGACCUUCCGGAAUAUAGUCGGUAUCUCUAUCUUGGUCGAGGUACUGGGGAUCAAUCUUUCGGUGGAACACUUCGAGGAGCUUACUCGGUUUAUUCCCACGAAUAAGCAAAAAUCGUCGGGUAUCUAUUACGUUGGUUCGAGGAGGCCGAUACUCGUCGAGGGGACAAAGGGAAAGACUUACAACUGGGCCGGCUCGUACUUCAUCAUGAAGAAAGUUCCGGGGGUCGUCGAAGACCCUUCAAUUCCCUUACACUCUGGCUGGAAUCUUUCACCCGUUUCUGUGCCGAGGUGUCUACUUCCAUACCCUCCUGCUUUUCGUGCCGAGAUAGAUAAGAUCAGGUCGGUUGGUCCUUACGUUUGGCCGGGGUCGAGUCAGGAGACUAGGAAGAUAUCAGCGAGGGGCACUUCGUUGUCCAACGCAAAAGUUUCAAAACCUAGAGUGAAAAAUUCAGUGCCGACGAGGAUGGGACGUUUAAACUUGGAAGUUCUCGACGUUUCUGCUCGUCUGCGAUGACCUGCCGGGGCAUCGUCCACUCCGCCUUCCGUCCCUCAACCUCUGCACGAGCGCUCUGAUGAUCCAUUGCCCGAACCUUUGGCAGGGAAUAAGGCUGGUUCGUCGCAGGACGCCCGUCUUGCCAAGGCACGCGCGGGGAAGAAAGCCGUAGUCCCGUCUCCGUUGUCGAAACAUUAGGUUGAACCAAUUGAAACUGAGAAAGGACGGGAAAUUUCUGGUCGUCCAGAUGCGGUGGAACGGGCUGGAGCGAGUACUCAGAAAAGGAUGGGUGUGACAAGGUCGUCUGCUCCAGAGUCGGCGAAGAGGCAGAAACAGGGAGGCUACGAGUGGGAUUUCUGCUACUCCACCGCAACUCGUGCUUUCCCAACCAACUCCGCCUCCUGUACCGAGCUAUUUCGCAAAAUUCACUUUGGUACUGGGAGUCUUAUGCCGGUUGAUCGACUGAAGGAGAAGGACUCGGUCAUUGACGUUCCGAGGACGUUCUUUGAGCUUAUUGCAACAAUGAAUUGGGAGGUUUCUCGUUAUAAGCGCGACAUCCGCGAGCUGGAGGCUGCGACUAAGCGUCCCGAUUCUUCUGCUGACAAAGUUAAUUGGCUCACAGAGCAACUGGCAGCGGUCCUAAGCUCGAAUCAAAAGCUGAAGGAAUAGGCUAUGAAUUUUGAGCGCAGUUACAGCGUGCUGGCAGCCGAGAGGGAUGAUCUUUGCACCAAACUUGAGAUCCCUGAGUCGUCGCACGAAGAGCUGAAGGUAGCGCUGGAGUCGGAGACUUAACAAUUGCGGGAUCGGCUAGACGAGUACGGCAACUACAUGAAGAUUGCUGCCUAUCACCAUCUUGUCGGUCGUGCUCAGAGGCUCCUGUCGAAACAUAAGAGUUACGCGGAUGCGUACGAGGGUUCUCGUUUGAAGUUUCUAGAGUUCAACUAGGCCGUCGGGAAUAAGCAUAUGCUGGAGGCACUCGUCGCUGAUGGUCAGAUUGCUCUUCUCACUGAUGGGGUUAUGGAGAGGGUUAAUAACAUGGUCACUCAGCUUAAGGAAGAAGUUGAGCAGUUCUUCAUUCCAGAUAUCAGGGAAAAUGACUUCAAUAUGUCGUCGUGUUUUGCUUCACCCUUCCCAGAAGUAGAAUGGGUUAGGGCACCGGGCUACGAAGAAGGUCGGCACGAGUGCGAAGAAGAAGAGCAGUCGACUGAGCCACAAGCGUCUACCUUGGCGAUGGGAGCUCCAGCGAGUGAACGAGUGGACGUGCAGGAAGUUGGCGACCAGGAGGAGAACGUGGUGGUUGUUGCUAAUCCAGAGCAGGCGGGUGAGGAGCAGACCGAGCAAGUCGCUGCCCAGGAGCAAGGAGACUCUCCGGUUGCCGGUUUGAUGUGAGAAGAUCGUAGCCGUGUUGGGGGUCGGCUCCCUAGAUCACUGAAUUGUUGUGAAUCAUGAACUGCCGUGUUCUGGGGUCGGCUCCCUUCCUUUUAAUUUAUGUAUGUCGUCGUUGUUUUUUUUUUUUUGGGGGUCGGCGCCCCUUUUUGAACCCUUGGGAUUCCCCCGUCCUUGUUGUGUUUUUUGACUCUCUUAAUUGAUGAUGGUUGUUAGUCAAUGCUUUUGGCCUAUGAAACGCACUGGUCAUUUAAUGGAUGCAUUUUUCGA